UCCCUACGGGACGCAGCAGUGGGGACUUUUGCAGUUUGUGGGAAACCCUGCUGCAGCGACGCCGCGUGAAGGAAGAAGUAUUUCGGUAUGUAAACUUCUAUCAGCAGGGAAGAAAAUGACGGUACCUGACUAAGAAGCCCCGGCUAACUACGUGCCAGCAGCCGCGGUAAUACGUAGGGGGCGAGCGUUAUCCGGAUUUACUGGGUGUAAAGGGAGCGUAGGCGGUUUAGCAAGUCAGAAGUGAAAGCCCGGGGCUCAACUCCGGGACUGCUUUUGAAACUGUUGAACUAGAUUGCAGGAGAGGG
rnacentral:rRNA from 1 species